rnacentral:rRNA from 1 species
UACGGAGGGGGCUAGCGUUGUUCGGAAUUACUGGGCGUAAAGCGCACGUAGGCGGCUUUGUAAGUUAGAGGUGAAAGCCCGGAGCUCAACUCCGGAAUUGCCUUUAAGACUGCAUCGCUAGAAUUGUGGAGAGGUGAGUGGAAUUCCGAGUGUAGAGGUGAAAUUCGUAGAUAUUCGGAAGAACACCAGUGGCGAAGGCGACUCACUGGACACAUAUUGACGCUGAGGUGCGAAAGCGUGGGGGAGCAAACAGG